UACGUAGGGGGCAAGCGUUGUCCGGAAUCAUUGGGCGUAAAGAGCGUGUAGGCGGCCCGAUAAGUCCGCUGUGAAAGUCCAGGGCUCAACCCUGGAAUGCCGGUGGAUACUGUCGGGCUCGAAUCCGGAAGAGGUGAGUGGAAUUCCUGGUGUAGCGGUGAAAUGCGCAGAUAUCGGGAGGAACACCGGUGGCGAAGGCGGGUCUCUGGGCCGAUACUGACGCUGAGGAGCGAAAGCGUGGGGAGCGAACAGG
rnacentral:rRNA from 1 species